AGAGUUGAUCAUGGCUCAGGAUGAACGCUAGCGGCAGGCUUAACACAUGCAAGUCGAGGGGCAGCGCGGGGUAGCAAUACUCUGGCGGCGACCGGCGAAAGGGUGAGUAACGCGUGAGCAACAUGCCCGGGACUGGGGGAUAGUCGAUGGAAACGUCGCGUAAUACCCCGUAACACACGGAACCGCAUGAUUCUGUGUUGAGAGAUUUAUUGAUUCCGGAUUGGCUCGCGUGCCAUUAGCUAGUUGGCGGGGUAACGGCCCACCAAGGCGACGAUGGCUAGGGGUUCUGAGAGGAAGGUCCCCCACAUUGGAACUGAGACACGGUCCAGACUCCUACGGGAGGCAGCAGUGAGGAAUAUUGGACAAUGGCCGAGAGGCUGAUCCAGCCGUGCCGCGUGCCGGGAAGACGGCCCUAUGGGUUGUAAACCGCUUUUGCGAGGGAGCAAUAAGGUCUACGUGUAGACCGAUGAGAGUACCUUACGAAUAAGCAUCGGCUAACUCCGUGCCAGCAGCUGC
rnacentral:rRNA from 1 species